CACGUAGGGGCAAGCGUUGUCCGGAUUUAUUGGGCGUAAAGAGCUCGUAGGCGGUUCGGUAAGUCGGGUGUGAAACCUCCAGGCUCAACCUGGAGUCGCCACUCGAUGACUGCUGUGACUAGAGUCCGGUAGGGAGCGUGGAAUUCCUGGUGUAGCGGUGAAAUGCGUAGAUAUAGGAGGAACACCUGUGGUGUAGACAGCUUACUGGGACCACUUCUGACGCUGAGACACGAAAGCGUGGGUAGCAAACAGG
rnacentral:rRNA from 1 species